rnacentral:rRNA from 1 species
AUCAAAAACAUCCGCUUUAAGUUAGAAUAAUUUAAAGUCUGGUCUGCUCUAUGAAAUUUAAAUGGCUGCAGUAUUUUGACUGUGCUAAGGUAGCAAAAUAAAUAGUUUAUUGAUUGUAUUCUGGGAUGAAUGAUUUCAUAAAAUAUUAACUGUUUCUAAUUAAUUAAAUUGAAUUUUAUUUUUAGGUUAAAAAGCUUAAUUGAUUUAGUGGGACGAGAAGACCCCAUAGAUUUUUAUAAAUUUAAUUUAAAUUAAAUUUAGUUUAAGUUAUUUAUAUAGUAAUUUAUUUUAAUGGGGAAUUAAUAAAAUUUUUUUAAAUAAAUUUUUAUGAAUAUUUAACAAAAUUAUUUGGGAAAAGUAGUUAGUGAAUAGAAUUAUCAUUAUAGAUAAAAAUACCUUGGGGAUAACAGCAUUAUAAUUUUAUAAAGAUCUUAUUUAUAAAGUUGUUUGUGACCUCG